UAACCUGCCUCAUACACAUGGAUAACAUACCGAAAGGUAUGCUAAUACAAGAUGAUAUAAGAGAUUCGCAUGGAUUUCUUAUCAAAGCUCCGGCGGUAUGAGAUGGACCCGCGUCUGAUUAGCUAGUUGGUAAGGUAAUGGCUUACCAAGGCAACGAUCAGUAGCCGACCUGAGAGGGUGAUCGGCCACAUUGGAACUGAGGCACGGUCCAA
rnacentral:rRNA from 1 species